rnacentral:lncRNA from 1 species
CUGGAGGAAGACAGGAAGCUGAGGACCAUCCUAUGACUGCCAGGAAAAGCUAAGUGGUCAUGAAUGUAAAGAAGAACCCAGUGACCUGGAAUUUGAUGAGCGGACAAGAAAAAAAACUGUAUCAAUGUGAAUGAAAUGGCUGAUGUUGGCCUGGUCAAGGAGGUUCCUGCCUACAUUCUGGAGAGAGGUUUCCAGGUCCUCCUCUCAGCAGAUACGGGACAAAGGACCAAUGAAUGAAGGUGACUAUAGCAGGUCCUUUAUGUUAACUCGAGAGCCAACAUUUCCCCCAAUGAAGUUGUAUCUAGCCCUGCCUGGUGCUGCCAGCUGAGCCUCAGCCAUGUGGGCAGCAUAUGCACAGUCAUGGUCAGCUCACAGACCACCAUAGAACUAAAAGGGAGAUGGCGACACAACCGCAUUCAAGACUCGGGGGCAGAGGACCAACCUCGUCUAUGUCUGAGGCCUUUGCCCAGAGCUACACUUCCUUCAGGCUGGUUGCCAGGACUCAACCCUGAUUGGAGGCAGAGGAGACACACUCCCGUCUCAGUUUCAAGUCUUCAUGUUUGGGUUGCAAAUGGGAAUUGAUAGUUCCAGCCUCCAGAUAGAUAAUGGAGAUCCACUACCUCCAGACAUCUGCCGCAUAUGUCUAUGACCCACGGGCUCGCUCUGAAAAGGACUGCUUCUGCUUCCCAGCCCUGGAAAUUUGAGCAUCUAGCUGCCACCAAGACUUCAAGCCUGUUUCAUUUAAACCUGUGUGCUGAUCUGUAUAAAGUGGUUUUAUCCCAUUGCCCCCAAGCUACUCAUAAAUCACAUUUUUUUUUAAAUA